CGAACGCUGGCGGCGUGCUUAACACAUGCAAGUCGAACGGGGUCCAUGGAGCUUGCUCCGGAAGACCUAGUGGCGAACGGGUGCGUAACACGUGAGAAACCUGCCCCGAACUUGGGAAUAACAGUCGGAAACGAUUGCUAAUACCGAAUACCGUCGGAGCGUCGCAUGGCGCAUCGACGAAAGCGUUAGCGGUUUGGGAGGGUCUCGCGGCCUAUCAGCUAGUUGGUGAGGUAACGGCUCACCAAGGCAUCGACGGGUAGCUGGUCUGAGAGGAUGAUCAGCCACACUGGGACUGAGACACGGCCCAGACUCCUACGGGAGGCAGCAGUGGGGAAUAUUGCACAAUGGGCGCAAGCCUGAUGCAGCAACGCCGCGUGCGGGAAGAAGGCCCUAGGGUUGUAAACCGCUUUCAGCAGGGAAGAAACUGACGGUACCUGCAGAAGAAGGUGCGGCCAACUACGUG
rnacentral:rRNA from 1 species